GCUGACGAGUGGCGGACGGGUGAGUAAUGUCUGGGAAACUGCCUGAUGGAGGGGGAUAACUACUGGAAACGGUAGCUAAUACCGCAUAAUGUCGCAAGACCAAAGAGGGGGACCUUCGGGCCUCUUGCCAUCGGAUGUGCCCAGAUGGGAUUAGCUUGUUGGUGGGGUAACGGCUCACCAAGGCGACGAUCCCUAGCUGGUCUGAGAGGAUGACCAGCCACACUGGAACUGAGACACGGUCCAGACUCCUACGGGAGGCAGCAGUGGGGAAUAUUGCACAAUGGGCGCAAGCCUGAUGCAGCCAUGCCGCGUGUAUGAAGAAGGCCUUCGGGUUGUAAAGUACUUUCAGCGGGGAGGAAGGGAGUAAAGUUAAUACCUUUGCUCAUUGACGUUACCCGCAGAAGAAGCACCGGCUAACUCCGUGCCAGCAGCCGCGGUAAUACGGAGGGUGCAAGCGUUAAUCGGAAUUACUGGGCGUAAAGCGCACGCAGGCGGUUUGUUAAGUCAGAUGUGAAAUCCCCGGGCUCAACCUGGGAACUGCAUCUGAUACUGGCAAGCUUGAGUCUCGUAGAGGGGGGUAGAAUUCCAGGUGUAGCGGUGAAAUGCGUAGAGAUCUGGAGGAAUACCGGUGGCGAAGGCGGCCCCCUGGACGAAGACUGACGCUCAGGUGCGAAAGCGUGGGGAGCAAACAGGAUUAGAUACCCUGGUAGUCCACGCCGUAAACGAUGUCGACUUGGAGGUUGUGCCCUUGAGGCGUGGCUUCCGGAGCUAACGCGUUAAGUCGACCGCCUGGGGAGUACGGCCGCAAGGUUAAAACUCAAAUGAAUUGACGGGGGCCCGCACAAGCGGUGGAGCAUGUGGUUUAAUUCGAUGCAACGCGAAGAACCUUACCUGGUCUUGACAUCCACGGAAGUUUUCAGAGAUGAGAAUGUGCCUUCGGGAACCGUGAGACAGGUGCUGCAUGGCUGUCGUCAGCUCGUGUUGUGAAAUGUUGGGUUAAGUCCCGCAACGAGCGCAACCCUUAUCCUUUGUUGCCAGCGGUCCGGCCGGGAACUCAAAGGAGACUGCCAGUGAUAAACUGGAGGAAGGUGGGGAUGACGUCAAGUCAUCAUGGCCCUUACGACCAGGGCUACACACGUGCUACAAUGGCGCAUACAAAGAGAAGCGACCUCGCGAGAGCAAGCGGACCUCAUAAAGUGCGUCGUAGUCCGGAUUGGAGUCUGCAACUCGACUCCAUGAAGUCGGAAUCGCUAGUAAUCGUGGAUCAGAAUGCCACGGUGAAUACGUUCCCGGGCCUUGUACACACCGCCCGUCACACCAUGGGAGUGGGUUGCAAAAGAAGUAGGUAGCUUAACCUUCGGGAGGGCGCUUACCACUUUGUGAUUCAUGACUGGGGUGAAGUCGUAACAAGGUAACCGUAGGGGAACCUGCGGUUGGAUCACCUCCUUACCUUAAAGAAGC
rnacentral:rRNA from 1 species